rnacentral:lncRNA from 10 species
GCCCCGUGCUGACACCCCAGCUGCUCUGGCAAGGAUGGGCAGUGAUAAGAGGAGCCCCGAGCAGGGAGGCUGGGGCCUGCAGUUUCACGCAGCUGUGAAGUGCACCGGAUGGAGUCUGUAAAGUGCUGUGUGAAGCUUGCUGCAGCUGAGUCCCAUGGGCGGAGGAAUGGGAGACGUGCCGCAGAUGAGGCAGAGCCAGCCUCCCCAGAACUGAAGAAAAUCGAGUCUUUCUGUGAUGGUGAAGGAUCUUGCUGCAGCCGGGGGCAAUCAUUCUGAAAUUGCAGCCUUGUCAUAGAUCAGCAUUUACAGCACACCUGGGGACCAUGUGGACCAAGGAUGGGCAUCAACCCCUGCAAGGAAGCAGGUUUUGUUUUAAAGAAAUCUCUGAUGUCAGAGUAUUUUACUAGGUUUUGCCUUUUACUUAUCAAACCAGAUCGGAACUCUGUGCAGGGGCUGGCUGGGUUCCCAGUGAGGGGCUGGCUCCCAGGUAAUCAAGUUUUGUUUAUUCUUCAUUUAUGAGGCACAUUCAUCUUCCCCAAGUAGAGGGAAAGUGGUGCCGAUGGCAGAAGCCCAACUUCAGCUGAACCCAAGACCAGCUUGGGCCUUUAUAAUCUGACUGAAGUCAGAAUUCCUUAAAGUCAUCUGUCUCCCCAAAUUUAUUUCCAACCCUGAGCACUUGAAUUAUUCUAAGGGAAAUGGAAGUGGAGAGGCAGGAGGGGGUGAAAUUUACCCCUGUUUUUCUCAUUAACUCCUUAUGAGGGUUUAGAGAUUUGUCACUAAUCUUAGGGAAAUAUAGAUACAUUUCGUUUGGUCCAAGACAAUACAUUUCUGAGUUUACACAUUGAGAAGAGGAGUCUUGGUUUGUCUGUGGAUGAUUAAGCUCUGUGUUAAGACCAGCCCCCGAGUGCCCCACACCUCCCAAAGUUCAUGGCAGUGUCCUCAGGUCUCUGGAAUGCCAGCAGGCCUUAGCAAGCAGCAGUCUGAUGAGUGAAGUGUAAAGGAGUCAGAAACAUACGGAUUGCAUUUCCCUGAGAAAAUAGAUCACUUGAAAAACGAAGGGGCAAAGUGCUUGGGAAAAUGCAUUAUGGAUUUUGUCGAGGCCAAAAAGGAUGUAAACUACUUCAGAUAUUCUCUAAAUGCCACAUGUGAGCAGGCAUUUCAAGCAACACACUCUGUGUGGGAGUGUAUAUAGGAUUGUGCAAGACUUGGGAACUUCACCAAGACCAUGUCCAUUUGUGCAUCCUCGAAGGCCCUCUAAGUGGUUUUGCAAACAGUCAAAAAGAAUAUACACUGACAAGACAAGUGCUAUUAUCAAAGGGGGAAACUGGAAUUUCACUCAUUGUCCUUUGUAAGAAAGAUGCCCUGCCCUUUUUUCUAAUGUUCUGAGUUGAAAAAUAUCAAAUGGAACAAUCAAUGCAAAGGUUUUCUAUAGACUUGUGGCUAAUUUUUUAAGAUGUUUAAAAUUGUGUGGCUGCAAACACAUCCUGCUUUAACCAGGACACAUUUUAGCAAUCUUCCUAAAGAUUGUUGUCAAAAUGGAUGAAAGAAGAGCCCCAAAACAUACUCUUCACAGCUAGCUUGCCCAGAGACGAGGAGAUGGCAAAACCCAGCCCAGUGACCCCCAGUUUCCCCCAAGGUUGCAUGCCACCUCCCAGCCAGGACUCCCAGAAGCAAGGAAGGCUUCCUCUCAACCUACCAGGCUGGUCCUGACCCAGGCCCUCAUGACGUUCUGGGCAGUGAAUCACCCACAGCAUCAUACUCAGGCCUUGGCAGAGCCUACAGGGUGAGGAACCUGGGAGAGCAAAGCAGACGGGAAGGUGAAGCACAAGCACCCUCAGCCCACCUGUCCCAGCCAGGUCUUCCCAACCCACCGGGUCAGGCUUACCUAUUCCUAUUGCUUGUUCACCCAGGAAGCCCCAUCUCCCUCUGCGCUCUCUCUCUCUACAUUUCUCUAUCUCUUUCUCUAACUCCCUGUCUCUCUAUCUCUAUGUCUCUAUCUCUUUUCUAUCUUUAUCUAUGUCUCUGUCUCUUUCUCUUUAUGUCUUCCUGUCUCUCUAUAUCCUUAUUUCUAGCUCUCUCUCUACCUCUCUCUACUCCUCCUUCUCUCUACUCCUCUCUCUAUCUCUCUCUCCUGCCAUGCAGUGUGGCCUGAGUCAGGAUGGGCGUGGAUCUGUUCUAGGACUCAGUAUGAGGACUCUUCAGCACCUGCUUUGUGGGUAACAUAGGUGGCCUUUCAUCCUCCGUCAGCUGACUGUCACGUCUCACUCUUCCACUGGAUCAAAAAUUGGGUAGGAACAAGGGGUAACAAUUCAUGAGAUUCCCUCGAAGGCCCUGGAGUCUUCAUCUUUGAAAAUCUCAACUCCACACCCCAAAGCCUCCCGAAAAGGCCUCCACUGAGGUUUGCAGCCAAUCCUGACUUCUCAAGUCCCUGGUCUUCCCAUUCCUUUAGAUCACUGAUAAUCCAGUUCUCCUUCUCCCGCCAGCAUGUGUGAAGAUGUCGCCUCCCCACACAGUUGAAACUGGGCCUUGGUCAUGCAUGUCUGCUAGAAGGCGAGCAGAGCAAUGCAUCUCCUGCAGCACAGCACACCGCUGGCCCCUGCAGCGUGGACGAUGUACUGGUGGGAGGGUGGCAUGCAGGUGGCACAGAGCAGGAACCACACACUCUUUCUUUAAAGUGCCAGACACUGAAGGUUUUGGGCUUUAGGGUCAUUUGGUCUCUGUCACAACCAACCAACUCUGCCAUUGCAAUGUGAAGGCAGCCACUGAUAAUGCAUGAACAAAGGAGCAUCAGUUCCAAUAAAACUAUAUUUACAAAAGCAGGCCAUGAGGCAGAUGGCCCCUGGGCCGAUUCCUGACAUAGGUGGUGUCUGCUCUAGAGUCACCCAGGCCACCGUGAAAUUUCCAUACAUUAGAAAGAAACCCUCACGGCUUUCAGGCACUGAAAUCAGGGGGCUGUUUGUUAUCACAGCAUAACCCAGCCUGUCCUGACUUACACAAAUUCCUCUUUUGUCUCACUUAACCCUAAAUUUCUGCAUUUCAACUCUGGUGUCAUUUGUUUACAAUUCACACAUCUUUAUUUGUUACCUGUUUCUUCUCCAUCCUCUCUUGCUCUCCUGAGAUCCAUUUUUUUUAUUUAUUAUAGACAUGGGUCUGUAUUUAUGGUUAACAUAAAUAAAUUGCAUUUAUUUCCAGCCAAGAUCAGAUAACAUAAUUUGAAGAAGGUAAUAUUAAACACAGAUAUAACAGAAAUACUUUAUGUACAACAUGGUGACUAUAGUUAAUAAUGAUGCAUUGUAUUAUUUUAAACAUUGCUAAGAGACUAGAGUUUAAGUGUUCUCACCACAACAAAAGGAUGUCAGGCAAUGCUAUGUCAAUCAGCUCAAUUUAGCCAUUCCACAAUGUAUACCUAUUUCAAAGCAACAUGUUACAGACAGUAAACAUAUGUAAUCUUUAUCUGUCAACUAAAAUAAAUAAAUAAGAGGCAUAAGAACAAAAAAUACUUUAAGUCCAAUAGUCUGAAAUGCUUUAAGUCUAGAGUAAAGGAUAGACAAUGAAUGUGUAUUUAUUCAUCUUAGGUAUUAGAAGGAAAGGGGUGUUUACGACUCCUUAAUAAGUCUGAAGUACAAGCCCAUGGAAGAGAAGGGUGGACAGACUUCUGGAAGAAUUGGAAAGAAAUACCAAACUAUCUGUAGCCUUAAAUCUUGAGUUUCUCAAUUUGUAAAAAAAGAAACAGGAGGAGAGAAAAUACGGUGUCUCAGAAGUUAUUUCGAUAGUCAGAUCUUCCUCUUGAAAACCAUACAGCUCAGAAACAAGCAAGAGGUUUCAGGGAAGAAAAAAAAUCCCACUCCUUUUCAGUGCAAUAACCUUAAAUUCCCAGCAGGACACAAACCACAUGUUGGUGUUGUGAAUAAAAUCUGAAAAGCAUCUGAGGGUAAGUGUUUAAUUAUACUUGGCGUGGCUACACCUUUUUACUCUCAAGACAGGAAAUCCCUGGACUGUUAAGUAGGUUCAACCCCUCAGCAGAACAAAUGAGAACCUUUCUGGCUGCCCUUCCAGGAUGGUUACAGCCAACUUCAUUUCUAGGGCAGGAGUAGCACAAGGAUCCCAAACAUCUAAUUACAGGGUUCCCUGCAGUCCCAGGCCAAGUGAGCACCCCAGAAAGUCCUCAACGGCACCAAAGAAUUAAACCUAUUUCAGGCCAAGCUCCACAUCUGCCUCGGAGUGUUUAAAGCACCUUGGUGACUGAGAUUGCCUGCCCCAGGUUUCCUUCCAGAUGUUCUGAAAUUCUUAUCUGGGUAACACUGUGGUCUCUGCAUGAGAGGCAGGGGGCAGUGAUUAUAGGUCCAGGCCCAGGCAGAUUAUGAAGUAGCUACAACAUCGUGUCUCAAAUUCUUUUUAACACACGCUUCCUAUAUGUGACUCGAAAUCUCAUUUCCUCCUUCAAAGUGUAUCAAAUAUCAAAACAAAUGUUAUGAAUAAAAAC